GGCAGAAUGCGGGGGAGACACACGCACACUGUCGGCAAUUCACUGUCGGGGGGGACACUCCGGAGGCUCCGAAGGGGAAUGAUGUAAGAUUCCUUAUUGUCAUCUCACCAUAUCAAGGUGAAGAGAGAGGGGCCAUCCUAUCAACUGAUCACCACUUCGUGAGUUAAAUCCAACGCUGGCGGAGGUGGUCAAGUGGAUCAGAACAACUCAGACAAGCAAUAAAGGGUUUCUGGUCUCCCUGUGGUGGCACGAGGAGUUCUGAGAUAUAAAGGGACCUCAAAAUAGAGGGAGAGGUGGAGCAGAGUCAGCUGAGGCGGUGUGGGCAUCCCAGGGAGGAGAGACCCCCGGAAAGUCCCAGAACU